GGGUAUAGCUCAGUGGUAGAGUGCACGCUUAGCAUGCAUGAGGUACUGGGUUCAAUUUCUGGUAACCCCA
rnacentral:tRNA from 1 species